AUGGAAACGCAGCAUCAGAAAAGCGUUGUGAGAAGCCGAUUCAGUUUUGAUUUGCCUAAACAAUCAGAGGCAUGUGGGGGACAUGUGCACGUCCAGGAGGCAGCUAGAAGAUGGAGGAAAGAAAGCCUUGUCUCUGAGGAGACUUUGCCUGGCAACCAGUUCAUGUCUCCCAUGGGACAGGCAGCCAGCAGGGGAACACCGAGGACACUGUACCCUGCAGAGACACUCUCCAAUCACACGGCAAAAGCUCUGCAGCGGACUGCAGCGGGACACUGCACUGCGCCAAUGCUCUCCUGCCAGCAGGCAGACUUUGGGAGGGGCCAGGGGCAUAAAAAGGACGGCGUCACAAGCCCCGCAGCUUUUCGAACUUGCUUUUUGAGUGUGGGCCUGGCUUGGGGCUUUUUCGACACUGUGCUUUUGCUUUUGAGGCUUGAUGACUCGAGGGGCUUUUUGAGACUUACUUUUCAAAACUUGCUUUUGAGUCGGGGCUGUUGGAGCCUUACGCUUUUUGCCCUGGCGCCAGCCUGCCUUUUGGCUCUCCUGCCUUCGCUGGCUUUAGCUCGCCCUCACGCCUGUCCUGCCUCCCUGUGUCCCUGCCUGAGCCACCUGCAUCCAACCGUGCUGGCCUUCGAGCCAGCCCACCGCCGCGACCCUGUCCGGGCUCUGGCCCUGCUGCCCGAGCGGCCCUCACCUCGUGUCCGGCCGCCCGUCCCCCGGCAGCCGUCCCCGGCAGCAUCCCCCGGCAGCCAUCCCCCGGCAGCGUCCCCCGGCAGCAUCCCCCGGCAGCAUCCCCCGGCAGCAUCCCCCGGCAGCCAUCCCCCGGCAGCAUCCCCCGGCAGGCAGCGUGCACAGCACAGCCCAGCCCAGCCCCGCCGUACGGACACCGACGGCGCUCCCCGGCCUCCGCUGGGAACGCCCUCUUCUCCCCUCUGUCUCCCCUCUCUCCCGCUCUCUCUCCCCGCCCCCUAUUCCUUUUCCGUUCUCCUUCCUUCUCUUCUGUCCUUUCCAGCCGUCUUUAGUAGGGUAACUCCUUUUUAUUUUUAG
rnacentral:lncRNA from 13 species